UAAUUCUCUUCUCUGUUUAUAGUCCUCAGAUCGCUAUGAGUACGUCUCCUCUCUUCCGCACACAUCCGCUCACGCAGCUGCAGUGUCUCCAGGCUAGUUAGCGGAUCAGCUGCAGCCUGCCCUGUUGACACCUGGCCUCUCAACUUCGCCUUGCCCAGAGACACUCCUGCAGCGAAGAGCUGACCCAGAGGAUUGGUGACCCCGAGAUGUUCAGCAGACAACCGUGAAGGUUGCUUAAAAGGUGCUGUUUUCCCCCGCAGCUUCUCUGAUGUCCGCCCUCCCUCUUGCUGCUCUCCAGAUAUUUUCACAUCUAACACAAUGGAUAAAAGCUUUAUUUUGACCGAACCAUAGCUGGUGAUUGCUGGGACAGUGGAAAGACGAACCAAGAUGGUUUAGGAGUUGUUUCUUAUAGCCAAGAUCAGGUCACUGGAUCAGUGUUGGAGGUGUCGGUCCGACCAGGAGACAACAUCACUCUGUACUGUGACUGCAAAAAAUCAACUGGAGUUUACAUAGUGUGGUACAGGAACUGCUCUCAUGAGAAUCAGCCUCCGUUUGUCCUUGAAACUAGAGGUCCAAGGAUCUAUGACCAGAAGAGUUUCCCUCGUUUUAAGUUUGUGGACAACACUGCCUCUAAUUCCUUUGACCUGCUGAUCAUGAAUGUUACUCAAUCAGAUGAAGGGAUCUACUACUGUGGAACUGAACAGACAAAAGUGGAGGAAACAGCUUACAUUGGUUCCAAAUCUGAUUACAGAUAUGGCAACGUCACAACAAGGAUCAAACUCAACUCGAGUGACACUGAUCACUGUCAGCCUCCCCGCCCGAGUACACAAGACUGUGGUGAGUGCUGGACACUGCUGUUUUCUCUGUGUCCAGUUUCUGCUGUUCUCUCCUCUCUCAUCUCUGCUCUUGUGGCUUAUCAUCUCUGUAGAAAGAAAGCUAAAGGCCCUCAAGUUGAUGAGCAAAAACCUAAAAGUAGACGUCAAACAGAACCAAAUCAGGUUGAAGAUGUGUGUUACGCUGCACUGGAAAUCCGUCAGCCAUCACAGAGACCAAAGAAGAAGAAGAGAAGUCAGAAUUCUGACUUCAGCACCUAUUCUGCCAUCAAAACUUCCAGGAUAUAGAGGGCCUAACACAAAACAAAAAAGACUUAUAAAACAUUCUGUCUGCAUUUUAAGCGGCAUGACUAGACAAGAAGGAACGUUUUUACGCAUAAAAUACAUUUUCAAGGUAAAAAACAUUGGUGUUACUUUUAAAGGUUAGACUUUACCAUUUAGUGUCAGCUCUCCUCAGAGGAUAAAUAUAAUUGUUGUAAGAAAGAGCUGUAUCAGGAUGUUAUUCAUUACUUCUCCGACGCACAGUACUUACAAUGUUGGAAUUGCAUUUUCUACUCUUUUAAGGGGUCCAGCAGAACUUCUGUGUUGUUGUUAAAGCUGGUCGUUAGAUUAGUCUACUCAGCAACUCCAUUUCUAAAAUAACAUUGGCUACUGUUGGCACAGAGACGAGGCACUCGAAAAUAUGCAUACGGUCACAUCCUUUGGGCUGUCGAGGAAAUUCCAACCCGAGUCCUUCACAAAGAAUUCCACAGUCCAGCAGUAAUAAACAACUUAAACAAAUCGUCUACAGGCUUGUAUAAGCAGAGACAGACAGAGAAGGUUUCAUUUUUCACAUCAUAUUACAAUCCGUUCACAUGUGGCAAUUAAAAAAGUGUUUAAUCAUGUAAAUUACAACAAAUUAUUACAUAAAGCCCCUUUAAUUGGUUGGAUUGUUCUAUCUGUGUUGUAUCAUGUGCCACAGUGGAAAUCACUAUCACUCAUUCAGCUUUCCCAGAAAAUUUGCAUCACAUGCAACUCAUUUCCUUAAACCAACUGAAUCAAAGAUUAAAAUGGAUGUUCUGUAAAAAAAACAACAACAAAAGAAUAAAAAAAAACCUCCAAA